rnacentral:rRNA from 1 species
UCCGGUUGACCUCAGGAUGUUCUACGUGACGCUCUCUAAGAGUCGAGUUGUUUGGGAUUGCAGCUCAAAAUGGGAGGUAAAUUUCUCCUAAGGCUAAAUACAGGCGAGAGACCGAUAGCGAACAAGUACCGUGAGGGAAAGAUGAAAAGAACUUUGAAAAGAGAGUCAAACAGUACGUGAAAUUGUUGAAAGGGAAACGAUUGAAGCCAGUCGUACUGUCGGGAAUUCAACUUCUUAAGUGCUUGUCGUGGGUGACGUUGAGCUUCGCGGCCUUCGUCGCUUUGCGUUAUGGUACUUUUGUUGUGCACUUUUCCGUAUGGUAGGUCAAUAUCGAUUUUGAACGUCAUAAAAUGAUCGGAGGAAUGUGGCUUCGAUCUCGUAUCGGAGUGUUAUAGCCUUUGGUAGAUGUGACGAUUGGGAUCGAGGAUUGCAACGAAUACCCUUUGGGCUAUCUGUCUGACCUCUGAAAGUCGCUCGAGUGUCGAAAGCGUGCUUAUGACAUUCUAGUUGGCGGUCAAAAGGUUAGAACGCGAUUACAUU